CCUACGGGAGGCAGCAGUGGGGGAUAUUGCACAAUGGGGGAAACCCUGAUGCAGCGACGCCGCGUGAGUGAAGAAGUAUUUCGGUAUGUAAAGCUCUAUCAGCAGGGAAGAAAAUGACAGUACCUGACCAAGAAGCCCCGGCUAACUACGUGCCAGCAGCCGCGGUAAUACGUAGGGGGCAAGCGUUAUCCGGAUUUACUGGGUGUAAAGGGAGCGUAGACGGUUUUGUAAGUCUGGAGUGAAAGCCCGGGGCCCAACCCCGGGACUGCUUUGGAAACUGUGUAACUGGAGUGCAGGAGGGGCAGGCGGAAUUCCUGGUGUAGCGGUGAAAUGCGUAGAUAUGACGAAGAACCCCGAUUGCGAAGGCAGCUUACUGCAGCGGAACUGACGCUGAGGCUCGAAAGCGCGGGUAGCGAACAGGAUUAGAUACCCCAGUAGUC
rnacentral:rRNA from 1 species